rnacentral:rRNA from 1 species
AGAGUUUGAUCCUGGCUCAGGAUGAACGCUGGCGGCGUGCUUAACACAUGCAAGUCGAACGAGGAAUACUGAUGAAGUUUUCGGAUGGAAUCGGUAUUCCGAGUGGCGGACGGGUGAGUAACGCGUGGGUAACCUGCCCUGUACAGGGGGAUAACAGUUGGAAACGACUGUUAAUACCGCAUAAGACCACAGUGCCGCAUGGCACAGGGGUAAAAACUCCGGUGGUACAGGAUGGACCCGCGUCCAAUUAGCUAGUUGGUGAGGUAACGGCCCACCAAGGCGACGAUUGGUAGCCGAUCUGAGAGGAUGACCGGCCACAUUGGGACUGAGACACGGCCCAAACUCCUACGGGAGGCAGCAGUGGGGAAUAUUGCACAAUGGGGGAAACCCUGAUGCAGCGACGCCGCGUGAGUGAUGAAGUAUUUCGGUAUGUAAAGCUCUAUCAGCAGGGAAGAAGAUGACGGUACCUGAGUAAGACGCCCCGGCUAACUACGUGCCAGCAGCCGCGGUAAUACGUAGGGGGCAAGCGUUAUCCGGAUUUACUGGGUGUAAAGGGAGCGCAGACGGCCACACAAGUCUGAAGUGAAACUCCACGGCUUAACCGUGGAACUGCUUUGGAAACUGUGCGGCUAGAGUGCUGGAGAGGUAAGCGGAAUUCCCAGUGUAGCGGUGAAAUGCGUAGAUAUUGGGAAGAACAUCGGUGGCGAAGGCGACUUGCUGGCCAGUAACUGACGCUGGGGUGCGAAAGCCAGGGUAGCAAACGGGAUUAGAUACCCCGGUAGUCCUGGCCGUAAACGAUGAAUGCUAGGGUGUGCGUGCAGAGAUGCAGGUGUGCCGUAGUUAACGCGAUAAGCAUUCCGCCUGGGGAGUACGGUCGCAAGAUUGAAACUCAAAGGAAUUGACGGGGGCCCGCACAAGCGGUGGAGCACGUGGUUUAAGUCGAUGCAAACCGAAGAACCUUACCUGGGUUUGACAUGUAGGUGUUAGGAGCUGGAAACAGCGACGAAUCUGCCGCAAGGCAGAUAGCCUACACAGGUGCUGCAUGGCUGUCGUCAGCUCGUGUCGUGAGAUGUUGGGUUAAGUCCCGCAACGAGCGCAACCCCUGCGGCUAGUUGCCAUCAAUACGGUUGGGCACUCUAGCAGGACUGCCAUCGACAAGAUGGAGGAAGGUGGGGACGACGUCAAGUCAUCAUGGCCCUUAUGUCCAGGGCGACACACGUGCUACAAUGGACGGUACAGAGGGAAGCGAGGCAGUGAUGUUGAGCGGAUCCCGAAAAGCCGCUCUCAGUUCGGAUUGAAGUCUGCAAUUCGACUUCAUGAAGCUGGAAUCGCUAGUAAUCGCAGAUCAGCCAAGCUGCGGUGAAUCCGUUCCCGGGCCUUGUACACACCGCCCGUCACACCACCCGAGCCGGGUGUACCCGAAGCCGGUGGCCUAACCGAAAGGGAGGAGCCGUCGAAGGUGUGUCUGGUGAGGGGGGUGAAGUCGUAACAAGGUAGCCGUA